UACGAAGGGGGCUAGCGUUGCUCGGAAUCACUGGGCGUAAAGCGCACGUAGGCGGACUCUUAAGUCGGUGGUGAAAUCCUGGAGCUCAACUCCAGAACUGCCUUCGAUACUGAGAGUCUCGAGUCCGGGAGAGGUGAGUGGAACUGCGAGUGUAGAGGUGAAAUUCGUAGAUAUUCGCAAGAACACCAGUGGCGAAGGCGGCUUACUGGUCCAUUACUGACGCUGAGGUGCGAAAGCGUGGGGAGCAAACAGG
rnacentral:rRNA from 1 species